GACGGAGGAUGCAAGUGUUAUCCGGAAUCACUGGGCGUAAAGCGUCUGUAGGUGGUUCGAAAAGUCCACUGUUAAAAAUUGAGGCUUAACCUCAAAGAUGCCGUGGAAACUUUCAAACUAGAGUAUGGUAGGGGUAGAGGGAAUUUCCAGUGGAGCGGUGAAAUGCGUAGAUAUUGGAAAGACCACCGAUGGCGAAGGCACUCUACUGGGCCAUUACUGACACUGAGAGACGAAAGCUAGGGGAGCAAAUGGGG
rnacentral:rRNA from 1 species